AUUGAACGCUGGCGGCAGGCCUAACACAUGCAAGUCGAACGAGUGGCGGACGGGUGAGUAAUGUCUGGGAAACUGCCCGAUGGAGGGGGAUAACUACUGGAAACGGUAGCUAAUACCGCAUACCAUCGGAUGUGCCCAGAUGGGCUUAGCUAGUAGGUGGGGUAACGGCUCACCUAGGCGACGAUCCCUAGCUGGUCUGAGAGGAUGACCAUCCACGCUGGAACUGAGAAGCGGUCCAGACUCCGACGGGAGGCAGCAGUGGGGAAUAUUGCACAGAGGGGGCAAGCCGGAUGCAGUCAUGCCGCGUGUAUGAAGAAGGCCUUCGGGUUGUAAAGUACUUUCAGCGAGGAGGCGUUACUCGCAGAGGAAGCACCGGCUAACUCCGUGCCAGCAGCCGCGGUAAUUC
rnacentral:rRNA from 1 species